UCAAAUUACAUCUCACCAAAGCCAAAUCACGGAGAUUCAGCCACGGCCAGCCAAAACAGGUACGUUCUGCCUUUGAUAUAAAGUUUUUUUUCCUUUCAUCAAUCAACGAAAACAUCAUUCUUAUGUCCAUCUAAUAUUUUAAAAGUUAUGAUAUUUGAUAUCUCAAUCAUCAUCAUGAUCAUAGGCAUUCGUUUUGAGUCCACAAUUCUUUCUUAAUUUGCAAUUUAUCUGACAAGAGUCAAUCCAAAUAAUGAAACCAAGCAUGAGAUGGGGAGUUCAAUCAAACAAUUUGUGUCAUCAAAGGCUUAAGGAACAAGGUUAAGAUUAGAUCUUAAUGACCAUGAUGAGCCCCUCACCAAACUUUUAGGGAAGUUCAUAGAACACCGCUUUUAAGCUUGAUCCUAAUUUCGUUCACAACAAGCUUGAUGAAGGUCAACUCUACAAGAAAACCUCUGGUUAUAUAAUUGAUAGAGAGAAAGAGAGAGACUAGUAUUAUAGGAAGAUGGAGUUACACCCAAAUGGAGUUUUGGUUGCAAGAAGAAUGAACAAUAAGAAAUAUCUAUAGAACAAAAAUCAAAUCUUCAAAUACAUCCUAGAUGCUUAGAAAUGCUUGGAGAUCUAAAGUACAAUUUCCUAAUUCACAUAAGGAACCAAGCAACAACAGAAGACUUUAUGCCAAGAUCAUUUCACUACAAAAUCCACACACGUCAUGAAUCAAUGUUCAACCUUGAAAUCACAAACAACUACGAUUAGUACAACCAGUAAGCUAACUGAAGUUUUUAUUUAUAUAGAUACGUAAAUACUUAUCUACAAUGCAAAUUCUUGAUCUGAAUUAUGAACACAAUAAACAAACUGUUCAAUCUUUUCACACUUUCUUUCAACACUUAAUUGAAUACCUUCACUACAUUGACUAGUAGGACUAACUAGCCAAAUUUUAGGAACUGCAGGGGAAUGUACCGUUACUUUUUGCCUACAGAAAGCCUUUUCAUGUAGCAUAAUUUCUGUGAAUAUUGCUCAACGCGAAACUGUAAAAGAUCCACAAGGAUUGUAGAUCUAAAAGCACAACUAUUCCUAUUUAGAGAAAUAAAUCUAGAAUGAUCAAGAAAUUGGUGUUCAUGGAUAAUUUAGAUUACAGAUCCACACGGAUUGUAGAUCUAAAAGCACAACUAUUCAUAUUUAGAGAAAUAAAUCUAGAAUGGUAAAGAAAUUGGUGUUGAUGGAUAAUUUAGAUUACAACAAUACUAAAGACAAACAGAAAAAAGUCAAAUAGAGGCCACCUAAUAAGGUUGGUUUGCUUUUCUUUUCUUCCUCAAGCACUAACUUCUUCCUCCUGCCACAAUCCCUACAAUCAUCGUUCCAUAUCAUAUAGCACAAUCCUCAUGUCAGUUGACAAGAAAACCUGAAAGAACAUACGUAAAAAAUUUUAUAUUCAAUCUCAAAAUCCACAAAAAGAAUUCCCAAAUAUCUACACUAACAAUGCUUGUAAUAUUAUCUCAAGAAUUGUCUGAGAAAGGGGAUUUAUUAACUAAAAAGAAGAAAAAAACAGUUACAAAUAACCAAGACAUAAUUAAUCUUACCCCUAAUGCAUCACCAAAUUAAUCAGAGAUAUGUAAUAACUCCUAAGGAAAAUGAGAGGCAUAAGGACCAAAAAACAGCAGCUCAACAAAUCAGACCAGCAAGAACAGCGAGUCAGUAAACAGCUAAAACAGCAAACCAGUGGACAUAAAAACAAUAAUAAACAGUGAAAGAAGAAAACAACAACACAGCAAACCACAUGAACUAAUUGACAGCAACGACAGUUAAACAUUAAGGAAUGCAACUGUUGCACUAUCCGAAACACAGUUUCACUCUAAAGAAGAUUUCCCAGUGUAAAAUGUAAUUUAAAACAAAGCAAACUGACCUUAGGAUAUUAUGACACUAUUGUACAUGCAGUUGCACUCUAAGUGCAACAUUUUAGAACAACAAAGUAAUGUUGAAAGCAAGGGAGAAAGGAAGGAGAGACUUCAAAUUUUUUUUUUUUUCCGCUGUGUGCAAAUAUUCCGCUGUGUGCAAAUAUUUUCACUCCAAGGAGAAAGGAAGGAGAGACUUCAAAUUUUUUUUUUUUUCCGCUGUGUGCAAAUAUUUUCACUCCAACCUUUUUAUACUUGUUGAGCACAAAACUUUCAACCAAAAAUCAAUAUUUUGAGUAACAAAAUCAGUAAAUAUUUGUGCAGCUACUAAAAACAAAGGUUCAAAUUUGUUAAGAAACCAACAAUAAGAUGUACGACCUAAUAGAAUCAAUAUUGAGGAACAUAAACAUACCUGAUUCUAGCAAUUUCACCAAUUAUACCACCUGGCUUAAUCGGGUGUACUUCGAGUUCUCUUUUAUUUUCAUCAAAUGUAAAAGUGAUGUCAGAGUAUGUAAUGAAAUAUUCUGGAGUCAAAUACAGCGGCUUGACACCAUCAACAUCAACAGAAACGAUGAUGGUAGAUGUUCUUGAAGAGUCCUUAACACGAUCACGGAACACAGUGGCCUGAAUAGUCUCGGAAGCACCAGGUUGAAGUGUGGUUGGUUUGGAAGACUCAGGAGGAGCACAGAAUCGUUCCUCUGUCAUUGUUAUCGAAUGGUUUGACUCGUUACGCACUGUCGUAGACCUAUGCAGUGACAUCUUGCUGGAUCAACACCACCAACAAACAAAACACAUGUUAAUGUUAACAGUUAUGAAACCAUUGAUAGCUGCUGAUAUACUUGAAUUGAAGACACAGCGGAGUUACCAGACCCGAUUAAAACCCGGUUCGUGCCGGGUUGGACCCGGUUUUUGUCAAAAAUUCAUCAAAACCAAAUAAUUCAAGGUAAUUUUUUUUUAAUAUUCAUUUCUUGUUAAUCUUUCCGGCUAAAGCAUUAGAAUUUCAAACCUUUAUACUGUCCAAGAAAGUUUCACAAAUGGGUCAUGCUUUUUUCUUCUCUGACCAAUCAAACGAAUAACAUUAACUUUUUAAAAUCCUACAGGUGAUAAAAGACAACACAACACAAGAAAACCAAAGCUUUGUAGCCCUACAUACUUUGGUCGUUGCGGACGGUGAAGAAGAUGGUACAGGUCUCGACGUCGACGGGGCACUCGGCGAUUCAAGGUGGUGUAGAAGGCUCAGAGAGCGAACAAUGACGGUGCCGGUGAGCUGAUUUUGAUCAGUGAGAGACUCUCAGUCACUGGAGUGUUUGUGUUGUAGUGUUGUGGCGGCUGCAGACGGCAUUACGUCUUCAACGAAAGGGUUUCCUUAAGUGAGCGGCUGUUUGUGUUUGCUAACUUUUGUUGCCUAUUUUCAGAAUACCCCUGAUGUUUUGUCAUUUCUCAUUGCGCUCCCAAAUAUUUUUUACUGUCUCACCUCGCACCCAUCGACCGAUUCACGUCCAACUUGAACAGUUAUAAUGAAAAGUAAUUAUGGAACAAUUAAUAAAUGGUGGCUUUGCAUAAACAGUAGUAAUAAUGCACAUACAACCCAAACUUUUAAAUGUUUCACAAAGUUUAAAUAUUUAUUUGGUAUGACUUAUCUAAUAAGUGUAAGUAUUUAUUUAAUUUCAUUUCAUAUAUUUUUUUAAAAUUUUUUGUUGUUAUUUGUUUUUUUUUAAUAAAAAUUUUAAAAUGUUAUUUUGUCCCUAUUAAUAGAAGAUUAAAUUUUAAAAUUUUAAGAGUAGAUGUUGAUUUUUUUUAAAUAUCUAAAAUAUUCUUUAUUUAUUUGACAAUAUUAUUUCAUUCCUUUCAUAAUAUAAUUUUAAAAAAAUUACCUAUUAAAUUAAUUUUAUAAUUUUUAAUAAAAACUCUUAUUGACAACCAAACAAUUAAAAUUUUUUGUAAAAAUUUUACUAACAAAAACUCUAUUUAAAUAAAUUAUAUUUGAAAAAUUAUAACCCAAUUUAUUUGCUAAAAGUUUUUAACAAAAUGAAAUUUCUAUUGAGGACAAGUAAAUAGAAAAUCUUGUCUUUGUUCAAAUUUGAAGAAGAAAAAAUUUGGGCCAAAUGGCGAGCCCAAAAAUCUUGUGUUGUCCAAAUCACUCCUUGGAGAUGAGAUGCCAUCGGAGUAAGCCUUUCAACACCCCUGAAAAUUCCUAUAAAACCCGUUUCCAAUUAAAAUUACUAAAAUAAUCAAAAUAAAAUUAAUUCAUUUUUUAUAUUAAAUGAAAAUUAAAUUACUAACUGAAAUGAAAUUUUCUUUCAAAAUUUUUCUUACACCAUUCCCGUUUUCAUAAAUUAGAUUUAUACCUUAAAUCUUAUUCGAAAACAAUCACUUUUUUUUUGGGAGAAACCUAAAGAUAGAAAGUAUAUAAUAAGAAAAAUAAUAAUUUCAGACUUUGAGAUUUUUAUAUAUUUUAAAAUAAAAAUUUAAAAGAAAUAUUAUUUUUAGAGGAAAAUUUAAUGAUAAGGUGGUUGAUUUUAAAAUAUGGUUAGUAUUUUAUAACUUAAAUCGGAAGUGUUAUAAGAAAUAAAAUAUAAAAGGGGUGCUAUAAGAAUUUUAGAGGGGCGUUAAAAAAUCCGCUCAUGCCAUCGGCCAGCUUGACUACGGUUGCGAGCCCAAAAGGCAGCCUAAGCUUAUUAUUAACUUCGACGGUUGUUUAAUGUUUCCUUGCAGCAAAUGUAGAUAGAAGCCAGCAAAGCAUCCGUAUAAUCUUGAGUCUUUUUUAUUUUUAAUUUUAAAGAAUAAAUCGAAGCCCUCGAUCGAAGAACAAAAAUAUGAAAUGGAGAGCCGGAGAAGCUGGCAUGGCCGGUACCGAUGACUGAUGAAAGCCUCUCCAACGAGAGACGGAGAAGAAGCCACUGUAUAUCAGCUGCAAGCAAGCUAGCAACACCACAAGAUAAGCAGCCCAUCAGCAAGUUUCCUUCAAGCAUGCAUGCAGGACACCUGCAAGUCUUCAUCAAGCAAGUUACUGAAGCUUCGAGCUACAUAAAACAGCUUCAAGCAUAAAAUUCUGAAUCUUAAUUUUUCUUCAACCAUGGAAGUCCAAAUCCAACGAGGUCCUCUUCAACUACCAAAAGCUAUCUACAACAGCCAAGCAACACAAAUCAAAGCGCUAAUAACCAGCGCUAUUGCAGCUGGCAGUUCACAGUUGUAAUUUAAACGAACCAAGGCUGUUUUUCCAUUUAAAUUUAUCUCAGUGGUUUACUGACAAUAUGAUCAUGUGGAGGAGGAAUCAUAUAAGAUCACUUUUCCAAUUCUAUGGAUAUCCAAGUUAAUUAUCCUUUUUAGGCAACACCAUUUCUCACUUCAUAGUUGAGGGUAGGCUUUUUCAUGAGUCUUAUUCACUCCGAAUGUCAUGCAAAGCUUUUCUUAACGUACGUCUUUAUAGCGUGAAAAAGAUAAUAAAACGUAAUGUGUCAAAAUAUUUUCAGGGGAAAUAAAGAUUUUAUUGUUUAGAGAAAUUUAGACGUGGAAUAUAAUCACUUUAUUUAUUGUAGAGCAAGCGCAACACUUGUUCUUUCAGCCUCACGGCAAGAGAUUUUAGAAUAUAAUCACUUUUCGAUUAUUUGGCGCCCACAACAAGCUCAUUGCUCAGUAAACUAAACCAGAGAAAGAGAAUUCUUCAUAUAUAAGCAAACUCAAGGAGAGUGUUAAAAGAAAGCUAGAUAUUUGCUAAAUACUUCAGAAUAUUAGCUCUUAAAGUAUGCCUAAAGUCCAUCUUUUUUUAUCAUAGAGCCAUAGAGGGAAGGGGUUUACCAAAUAUAAUAGUAUCGUUAUUAUAUACUCCUAAUGAAAGAUAAUUAAUUCGCGCUUAAUUAUGUAUACGUGUGUGUGUGUGUGUGGGUGAGAGAGAGAGAGAUGGCUUAGCUAGCCCUCAAGCAAUUCCACUUUAAUUAUGUAAAAGAGCUACAAUAUAAUAUUUGUAGUUUAGGGUUUUAGAAUAUAAUCUCUCCGUAAGAUACCUUUAGUUGUAGGAUGUGAAUUUUUUCUUCUUUUUAGGGUUUCAUUAAUUGCAAACCAUAAAGCAUUCAUUUAUGAGCUAUGAGCCGAGGCCCAUAAAUGGGCGUAGCUCAGAGUACCGCUGCCAUUCAUGACCCUCAUUAUAGUGCAACCAUGCCUUUCAAAACCAUAAUCCAUAAAUAAUUGCACCACGCUAAGAAAUAUACCACUGAGCCGUAUUAGGCCUUCGAGUAGACCAAGUGCUCUGCGUUGAUUUUUUGGCAUCAACAAGGACUUAUCUAAUAAGUUAGGAAGUUAAAAGAAAUUUCGAGUGAAUAUACCUAUCAGCUGAGAUUCAAGCUUUAUAACAUGAAAUUAUUGCUAACUUACAUAUAUUACAACCUCAUACAACUUUAUAAUAAAUUAAGCAUGACAGUACUAUUAAUUAAAAUAGAUUACAAAACCUCCGAAUUGUUAAUCCCAAUUUAUAUUCAAGCGGAAAAGUCUUAGGCGCUCUAGAGCACGCGUUUGUUUCAACUAACCAAUCAUGACACAUGACAAGUAGUGGAUAGAUAAGGAGAAUUGAUUUAGGAGCACCAAACACCCUCUCUAUUUAAACAUCAGUCAGCAAAUAAAAAGUUAGUUAGGAACCGUUGCAGAUCCUGAUGCACUUGGGUCCCUGACAAAACUUGAUGCAUUUGUCCUUUUUGUUCUCAGAUCCACAAUCAUACUUACUACAGACAAUAAGCCAGCAACCUACAAGCGUGACAACCGCAAAGCCAAUGAAUAGAACCAUGCAACCAGCUAAAGUACAAUAGCGUAUGCAUUUUGUAAGACCAUUAUAAUUACCAGCAUACUGAUACCCAUGAUCAGUAGUAGUAGCUUUGCCUUGUAAGAUAAUCCUAUGCAGUUCAUUGCACUCAGACCAGUUUUGGUCUUGUUGCUCGAUGACUCUCACAUACUCGAGUCCUUUAAUCAUUAGGGCAACCAAAUUGAGUAGGGCCGCUAGGAGGGAGACUGUAAAGAGAAACCAACGGUCUGAACAUUUGAGAGACGUUGCACUGCUGCAGGUUGCUGUUAAUAUUACGCCUUGAAAGACAAAAUAGUAAUUUGCGAGCUGGAAAGCAGUUGCUUGAAGAGUCUGGAGACGAUCUUCCUGCUUGUCGCAUAUUUUUCUCAGUUCUUCAAACCUCUUUUUGUUCUCUUCCUCCUCUCCAGCUUUUGUUUCCAUUUUCUUGGAGUGAAUCGUAAUUAAGUACCGUGUUUGUGAAGCAAUUAACCUGCAUAGUAUAUAUAAAUGUCCAUGGAUCAAAUAAAUUAAUUGAUUAUACACACACACACACACACACACAAUUUCUGAUAUACUAAGAUUGAGUUUACCGGUUGCCUCCACUGCUGAUGUCGAAUAAUUUUAUAUUGCAAGAUAUUGCAAGCGCAACGCAAUGGAUGACAUGUAAAAGUAAGCAUGCUUAACUAUUAUUAUGACCUGGUAAAAAGUUCAUCGUUGAUGAGCAAAUUUUAACAUCUUAUUAAAAUGGAGUUUCUUGCAGCUGAAACGUCAAUCUCUGAGGUUUUAUUUGUUUCCAACUAAUAACUAUCGCUGAAAUCCAUUGACUUUGAGAAGCUAGCCUCUAAUGCAAUUUCCUGUAUAAUUAAUUUUGAUGAACAUUUCAUAAUAGAAUACAAAUAUUCACGCAUUCUUACUUACGUACUAAGAACCAAUCAACUAAUUGCUUCAUUUGGUUUGUGUGUAUAUAUAUAUAUAUAUAUAUAUAUAUGAAAUGUCCCAAAACUUAUCGCUGUAUAUGAUCAAGAUCGUAUGCAAGAAAUUUCUUGCGAGCUAGUACUAUUUCUAUAAUGAUUACAUAAAGUCUUAAAUCUGAGUUGAGCGUGCCAUGAGUGCACUUGAUUGUCAGAUCUUUGAGUAUGGCCGCUAUGAGUAACACUGCAAAGGGAAGCCAACCAACGGUCUGAGCAUGUUAGACCAGUUGAACCGUUGCAAACAGCAUUAAGUGCAACCGCCUUUCAGAGACAAAAUGGUAAUUUAUUAGCGUGGUUUUUGUUUGUGACCAAACAAGAUUUUAAGCUGAUUACUUUCAGCCAUUGGCUUGUGAGAAGCCUUACAAUUGACUUGCAUAAGACUGUGAAAUUUUCAUUAUCAGUAACCUGCCAACUUACCUUAGAAUUAGAUUAGACGACGUGUGAGAAACAUUAUAUUUGGGUUGUUUACUUGCUUGUGGGUGGUGCUAUGAUGUCCUUCCUAAAAGCCGAUCAUGAAGUGCCAAGUUAGUUAAUUUCUUAAUGUGAGAGUCAUGACCUAAAAUUGACGCGUUAAUUGUGUAUAUAUAGUGAAUUUUUUUAUUUAUUUAUAGGGAAUUAAGUAAUUUUGCCUUCAAUUCUUCUUCAUGUUUAGAAUUAGAUGCAUCCAGUCGGUGGAUAAGGUGUGUCACUUAGAUCCUAAUUUAAUCCUUGUCACUUUAGUCAUACUUUAUUUUUAUUUAUUUAUCUUAAUGUAACUGAUUUUAGAUAGGUUUUGGUUCUCGUGAAACAUUAAACAUGUCGCUAGACAAGAUUUGUACGGAUUAAACCACUAGGAUUUAACUAUCAAAUUUUGAAUUUAAGUAUCUCAAAAUAAUGUUUAACUAGAAAAUCAAGUCUUUAAUUAAAUUACGGACUCCUUCAGUCCUUUGAAAGCCCUACGUCUGAUGGAUAGCAAUGAUUGAUCUUGAUUAAUUGGAUGAAGCUUGUAAAUUCGAGAAAGAGGGAUUUUAUAAGAAAUUUAGCAAAUGGGGUUCCAUUUUGAUUGGUUAAAAUUAAUUGAUUGAAAUGCAAGCCACAGAAGGUCGGUAGCCUUGUGUAAGGGAGUGCAGCAAGCCUUUUUAGCCCACUACAUAUACACUCUUUCUCUACCUCCCCCUCCGUGGCAUCAAUUAUUAUCAAAUUAUCAAUAAAAUAAUUCACCAAAAAGCGUCCAAUUUGCAUUGCUAUACAAUGUGCAUUGUAGUACUAACUACAGCUUAAAGUAGGGGUGGGUAAAUCGGGUUUCGGUUCGGGUUGUUCGGAUUUCGGUUUGGGUUUCAACCCGUUUAGGUUGGAGAAUUGAACCCAAUCGGGUUGAAAACGCCAACCCGAACCAAACCGAACCGAAUUAAAUUCGGUUCGGUUUGGUUUGGGUUGGCAAUUCGGAUCGGAUUGGGUUGAUAAUUCGAGUUAAAAUUUUGGUUCGGGUUAAUUCAGGUUAGUUUAGGUUAGAAUAAUUCGGGUUAGAAUGGGUUUGAACAAUUUAAUCUAAAAAUUCUAACAACAACCACUUAAAAUUCAAAAAUCACAAUUCCAAACAUCCUUAACAACAAAUAUCAACUACAAAUUACCCUUAAUAACAUUUCAACAAGUCUUUUUAAAGUUAACAAAACAUAAAACAUGUAGUCAAGUAUAAUAAAGCUACAAAAAUUACAAAUCUAAAAAUUAAAAUGGCAAAUGGCAAGUAUGAUUAAAUAUCUCCACAUGACAAAUAAGGCUAAUAAUCCAUCUCCAACACCAUCAAUACUCAACACAACAUCUUCAAAUUAGCAAUAAUUAACCACUAUCAUAGGGAUUUUUUUUGUUUAAUGUAUAUAUAUUUUUAAUUUUAUGAUUAAAUAUCUCCACAUGACAAAUAAGGCUAAUAAUCCAUCUCCAACACCAUCAAUACUCAACACAACAUCUUCAAAUUAGCAAUAAUUAACCACUAUCAUAGGGAUUUUUUUUGUUUAAUGUAUAUAUAUUUUUAAUUUUUAAAAGCUAAAUCUUAAAAAAAAAAAAGCUUCAACCCGAACAGGUUGAAAAUUCGGUUCGGUUCGGGUUAACCCGAUCCGAACGCCCAGCCCUAGCUUAAAGUACCAACCCAAACAAUUUUACAACUCUCUCAUCUGAUAUUUUUCCUCAGCUAAUCGAUCGUACAAUCCCAAAACAAAAAGAAUAAUACGUAAACCAAUAAUAGAAUAGAAACUAUGUUAAGCAUAUUCAUAAGAUCGAAAGUUGGAAAUUGAGUGCAAAUGUUUGCUUAUACAAACAUCACUCAUAACAUUUGCUUCUUAGUCCAUAAGUUCAAAUUCUCUUGUUCCUCUUCUUCAUUUAGUUUCCCAGUCAUUACACAUCAACUAGCUCCAUUCAUCAAAGGAAACUUAAAUUGGAUGAACAUUUGCUUUUUAUUACUGAUAUCAUUUCUACUCUAAUUCCUUUUUGCGGAUGAAGCUGAUGAUUUUGAUUUGAAUUAUGAUGUGUCUGGAGUACCUAAUGAAGAAGCAAGUAUUUCAUUCUUCCCCUAAAUUUUCGGAAAGAAGCUUUUGAACUGAAUUUGUUAUGAUUCAAUGCUCAUUGUUGAGGGGUAGACUUUAGGAUUUCUAGUGCUCAACCUAAAAUGCUAACAUAUUAAAUAGAGAGACCUAUUCUACUUAUAAACUUAAUCAACUCUCAUUUACUAGCCAAUAUAGUAUAAUUUUCCUAUUAAUUUAUGCAAUAAAAUAGAAAAAAGAUUAAUUUUCAUAUUAAUUUAUGCAAUAAAAUAGAAAAAGAUGAAACAUUAAUCUAAAAUUAAUAGAAGUUAGAAGAAGAGCAAUGACACUUGCACAUAAUUUGUGCACAUUCUGUGCUCAAAAUAGUGCAAAAUCAUCCUAUUGUUGAAUUUAUUGAUCAACAUUUUUAGAAUUGGUGCUUUGCACAUUGCAUUGUUCUAUGAACAUUUUCCUAUAAAGAAUUUUGUUUAAGUUUUAUGCAGAUUCAGUAUAACUAAAGAAUCAUAAAUAGCUCGAAUUUCGGUUCGGGUUAACCCGAUCCGAACGCCCAGCCCUAGCUUAAAGUACCAACCCAAACAAUUUUACAACUCUCUCAUCUGAUAUUUUUCCUCAGCUAAUCGAUCGUACAAUCCCAAAACAAAAAGAAUAAUACGUAAACCAAUAAUAGAAUAGAAACUAUGUUAAGCAUAUUCAUAAGAUCGAAAGUUGGAAAUUGAGUGCAAAUGUUUGCUUAUACAAACAUCACUCAUAACAUUUGCUUCUUAGUCCAUAAGUUCAAAUUCUCUUGUUCCUCUUCUUCAUUUAGUUUCCCAGUCAUUACACAUCAACUAGCUCCAUUCAUCAAAGGAAACUUAAAUUGGAUGAACAUUUGCUUUUUAUUACUGAUAUCAUUUCUACUCUAAUUCCUUUUUGCGGAUGAAGCUGAUGAUUUUGAUUUGAAUUAUGAUGUGUCUGGAGUACCUAAUGAAGAAGCAAGUAUUUCAUUCUUCCCCUAAAUUUUCGGAAAGAAGCUUUUGAACUGAAUUUGUUAUGAUUCAAUGCUCAUUGUUGAGGGGUAGACUUUAGGAUUUCUAGUGCUCAACCUAAAAUGCUAACAUAUUAAAUAGAGAGACCUAUUCUACUUAUAAACUUAAUCAACUCUCAUUUACUAGCCAAUAUAGUAUAAUUUUCCUAUUAAUUUAUGCAAUAAAAUAGAAAAAAGAUUAAUUUUCAUAUUAAUUUAUGCAAUAAAAUAGAAAAAGAUGAAACAUUAAUCUAAAAUUAAUAGAAGUUAGAAGAAGAGCAAUGACACUUGCACAUAAUUUGUGCACAUUCUGUGCUCAAAAUAGUGCAAAAUCAUCCUAUUGUUGAAUUUAUUGAUCAACAUUUUUAGAAUUGGUGCUUUGCACAUUGCAUUGUUCUAUGAACAUUUUCCUAUAAAGAAUUUUGUUUAAGUUUUAUGCAGAUUCAGUAUAACUAAAGAAUCAUAAAUAGCUCGAAUAACUAAUUAACUAAAGUCGGUUUUACUUGUUCGACAAUAAUAUUUAAGGACUCUUUUACUUUACAUACACAAUUGUAGAUUGCAGACAACGACAUGCUGUUUAGGUGACAAACAAUUAGAUGACAUGAUUUGUGAUGUAAAAAAAACUCUAACAUGUCAUCCUAAUUUAAAAACUAGACAAUAAGUCUCACAGUGUAUGUACCGGCGGAUACUAGGUAGGACACGUUGUUUGUAUCUGAAUGCCAAUAUGACCUAUUAUAUGACUUAAACAUGACUAGAUGACUUAUCCCUCAAAAACCUAACUUUAUCAAAAUUUCAUGAAGUAAAUAAAUACUAUUGGAUAAGAUAAAAUAAAACCUCAGGCUUUAACUUUUUUAAGACUCUGAUGCCUAAGCAACAUUAUAAACACAAAAGAGAAUGGGGACUAAAAUGUGAAAAUCAAUCCACUGUGCACUUGUCAUACCUUCAAUCUUGUUUUCACUAAGCCUCUUGAAUGGAAUAUAACAACCUAUUAUUGAAAGUACAAUUCAAACUAGUUGUAUAUAUUUCUUUACAUCUGCUAUAAGAAGGCCCCUUUCUUAAAUACAUAAAAAAUUGUUUUCCUCCUCACAUUUCAUCAUUAUUUUGAUAAGAAUGCAUCAAUUUCAUCAAUUGCUUGAAACAAUCUAUAAUUAUUCUAAACUCAAGAUUGAAAACUUAAUAAAAUCAGCCAGUUAUUCUUGACCACACAAAGAUAAAUAAUCUACUUGGGAAAUAAAAAGAGAAUUUUUUUCUCAAAUUAAAUAUCAAAAUAUUAAGAAGAUAACAAUUAUUAGUCCCAAUCCAAAUUCAGACCCAAAUAAAUAAAUAAGUUUAGAGUACAAAAAAAUUGAAAUGACUAUUUAACUCAAGCUGGUUUUUCUUAUUCGACAAGAAUAAUUAAGGACUCUUUUACUUAAUAUACAUAAUUGUAAAUUGGGGUAAUUAUCAUAAACCUCCCCUGAGGUUUAGCAUAUUCUCAGUUUGAUAGAUUGUAUUAAUAUAUUCUCAACCACUUCCCAUGACGUUUGUAGGCCGUUUCGUAUAAGUUGAUUUGGUGAGGGCAAAAUGGUAAUAGAACUUUUUAAUAUAAAAAAAUUCAAACAAAAGUGAAGAUAUCACGUUGGGUUCUGGAAUUGAUGUGAAAUUUUUUAAUAUCCAUUGAGUAAAAUUGGAAGCAAGAGUUUAACCAACAGACAUUAUCACUAAAACUUAAAAAAAAAAUGAAAAUGGACACCUUCUUUCUCCAACCAAAGCUACGAAAAGCAAAUCCUCUUUCGUCUUCUCUGCAAUGCUUAAACAGAAAAAUUGUGCCACGAUUUGGAGAUAAUGAUGACGAAGCCAAAGAUGCCAACAUCUGAGACAGCUGAAUCACGAUCGUCAGGUGUAAGGAUGCCGACCAGUAGUGAGUUUCGCCGUCGACCCACUUACAACCUCAAUUUGCUCGAGCCGCGAAUAAGGUAUGAAAAUGGCUUAUUACAGUGCAUGUUAGUUUUAUUAGAUGGAUAAUGGGUCAGUCAAGUUGGUAAAAUAUGAAUAAUGAGUCUCGAAAUUUUUUUGGGAGUGUUUUUGUUGCUUUGAUUUUUUUUUUCUAUCGAUUGGUGUUAGCUGUAGAUAAUGGUUGUUGUCAAUGUAUGUUUACUUCAUUUUGAUUGAAUAUGGCUCGUGAUUUUUUAUGCUACCUUGUGUAUGAAUGAAAAUGGGUAUGAAAACUUUGUUAAUUGUUGAAGCUACUGCCACUAAUUGUUGAACAGGGAUUUAUGGUAAUUUUUGUUAAAUUACAGAUGUAAUUGAAUAUUGGAGACAACUUGUUGGGAUAAUUGAUUUUGGUUUUUAUCUGAAUCAUGGUAUGGACAUGGCUUGGGUUGAAAAAAUGUCAUGGAUUGUUGCAUUCUCUCGCAUUGAAGCAGUGAGCUUAGACAAUAGGGUUUGGAGUCAUUGCUUUGUUGUAGUUGUUUAUCUUUAUAAUUCAAGCAAAAUAAGCUUCAACAAUGAAGAUGCUUUAAAUUAAGGCUGUAAUGGGUUAUCGAAUGCGAAGAAGUAGUUUGAUUAGUGGCAUAGAAAUUGAUUUGAGCUCAUUUUUAUUGUAGUUAUAUUAAAGAUGGAAUUGCAUGUUGAGGAUAGCUUGAAGUGUAUAGUUUGUUUGCUGUCAAAUUGGCCAAAUGUGAAUUUUUUUUUUUGUUACAAUCUAGAGCUUAUAUUAAUUAAUCUAUUCAGAACCUAAUCUUACAUGUUUUGAACAUUUACCAAUUCCUUCUCAUUGAGCCAUUUUUCAGCCUUAUUUACAUGGACAUUGAGGAUGUGGUUGACGGAGAAAUGCUUAAAGUUGAAUAUGUAAUCUCUGAGCAGUGCACUUUAAAGAAGUUGUGAGAGGAUAUUAAAGAUAUUUUCAAUGUAAUCACUUUGAUUUGGUGCCAAAACAGACCCAUAAUUACUUACCAACAAUUCUUUAACAUGUGUAAACAAAGUAAUUUUUUUUCAGCCUAGGGGUAUUUUGGUCAGUUUAUUAAGCAACAAACGAGCAAACAAAUGGUCUACAGACGUCAGGGGAGGUGGUUGAGAAUAUGUUGAUACAAUCUAUCAAACUGAGAAUACGCUAAACCUCAGGGGAGGUUUCUGAUAAUUACCCUUGUAAAUUGUAGGAGGAAAGAUACGCUGUUUAGGUACAAAAAAUUUGGACGACAUGACAUACAUACUAAAAGAGUGGUUGACGACAUGUAAUCUUUAUUAAAAGCUAGACAACAAGUCCUAUAGUGUGUGCACCUACACACACUACGUAGGACACGUCGUUUCUAUUAGAAUACGAAUAUAUGUUAAUACGUAACAAAUACGACCGAACAACAUGUAUCAAGAUCAUGUUGAAGAAACGUAUUAUAUAAUAUAAUAUAAUAUAUUUUGUCAAUAUGAACGUCAUUUCAUAUUUAUCGCCAAUAAUUCAAUAUAAAUUCGCCUAAUGUAUCAAGAUCAUGUUGAAGAAACGUAUAAUAUAAUAUAAUAUAAUAUAUACCCGAUCCUGCGAAGAUGAUCAAGCCAUGUUGUCGCCUUAAUCCCGCCGACUCUUACUUCUCCAUUUUCAUCGACCCUAACGAUGAUACAAAAGCAACGGAUAGAGUCUCGCGGAGUCAAAGCUACGUUGGAGUAAACACCGUCAACAAAAAUCUUGACGGCAGUUGGUCUUGAAGAGUCGAUGGCCCGUCGGUGGAAGAACGUGUGGCCGGAAUAUUCCUGUGACUAAGAGGGGCAAGCUCGAUUUUAUAGGAGUAUAUUCCACGGGGAGCAAAUUGGCAACUCUCUUUUAAUUCUACUACCACGUGUUUGCUCUCGUUCACUAGUACCACUGUGAUUCUUUGCACGAACUGAUCCAUCUUCAAGGCUUCAACUAAGAUAUCAUUCACACUCCAAGAUUCUCGAGGAAUGAAAUAUGGGUUUUUUAUUAUAAUAGUAGAGAAAUACAUGUGAAAUCGCAGCAUGCCUAAGUGGUAGGCCAGCCCAACGGUUUGGGGUGGAUCCAAGUUCUUUGAUGAGACCGAGCAAAACUCAGUCACAUGGCCCAACGCUAUUGGUUGUGCGUAGCCGCCGGUUUGACACAAAUUCUUGUUGGUAUAAUAACAUCCCAGUCCCUGAGCUCUUAUUUUUUUUUGAAUUAAUUGCAACAAUCUCCUCUCAAGGAGACACGGACAUCAUGGUGUCACCCUCACAUACCAUCAGCACAGAGUCAUGAGCAGAAUAUUUCAGUCUAUGUAUGAAGAAAGAUUAAUGGUUGGCGUGGUUUUGAGUCGGACGAUUAUUGAAUAUUGAUGCUGCUGAAAAUUGAAAUCAGUGAAGACACAUUUUCAAUAAAAUAACAUGCCGGGGUGCCGCAGAUUAAGCUGUUUAAUUAUGAGUUUAUGUUAAAAGCAGAGACUUUUAAUGUCGGUAGCUCCAUUUUUAUAAUGUCACUUUUACGUGGAAGGAAUUGUAAAACUUUCAUUGCUGUUGUUGUGCAAAUUUUAAUGUACUCGCAAGCGCACGAAUCUAUUGUAGUAUAGACUAAUGGUGAUGAGUGUCGAUCCCACGAGGAGGUGGAUUUUAAUUAUAUGUAGAAUUAAUUUUGUAAAUGGGUGGUUGGAUUUAUGGUGGAAAUGAUUUGGAAUAUGCUAAUACUUAAAUUAAAAUGGCGAGAAUAAAUUCUAAAAUUGGAAUUGCAAUGGACUGCUAGGAAAUAAAUGAAAAAAAAAAAUUAAUUAAAUAAACAAAUAUACAAUAAUUGAUAUGUCUCUACUCCCGAAAGGAUUAUUCAUUGUUCCUUCCACCGCACUAAAUGACUCAUUCAUUGAUUCAUAUGAUCCCGAGGAGCCUGCAUGGCAGCUAGCUAGCUAUGUCCAGGAUCAUAUAUAUGUAUAUAUGAACUGCUAAAUGUAGUAAUUAAAAAACUAAUGUGAAAUAUUUGUAGAUUAUUAAUUUGGAUUUGCUGUGUCGAGGAUCAUAUUUGUCAACGCAGCUCUACGUUAUAUUUUGAUUUUCUAAAAAUAUUAGUCACCUCAAGGCACGUGCUAGUUCUUUGAAAUACAAAGCUCUAGAGAUCAAGUAUCAAGCCUCUCAAGCCUCAAUAUUGGUAUGUUUAAUCAUGUCUUGAUUGUCGUAAAUGAUGAUGAUGAUGAUAAUUAAUCCCCGGCACGAAAAGCUUUCUAUAAUAUACUUACCUUCUACCCGGAAGAUACACAGAAGAUUUUGGUGUAAAAAUCUAUAAUUUACGAUAAAUAAUGUUUUAUAGGGUUAGAACAGAAAUAAUUUUUGGAUUAAUCUACUGCAUUUAAUAACCAUAUCGGAUUUAAUUUAAAUGGACGAAAGAGUGUUGAUAUGAGAUUAUGAUCAUCUCCUGAUCUGAUUUUCAUCUGAGUAAAUUUUAAUAUGAUUGGUGAUUAAAUUAAAAAGAAAAAAUAGUUAAAUCACUGCUGUACGGCCAAGGCGGAUGUACGGUACAGCAGCCCUAAAAUACAUAAAUUACUUAAUUAAAAUAAAACACACGUAAUUAAAUCACAAGAAGGUUAAAUACAUAAAAGUAAAGGUUGUUAGUAAGACUUAAAAUGUAAAAUGACGGUUUUCUCCUUUAUAAAUAUGCAUUUUCUAACACUCAACAGCUGUCAAGUUAACCUUUUGAUCAUACGUGCAGCUUAGUUUGGUGUUGACUAGAAGAUGGCCUUCAUCAUCCAGUUAUUUUGAUUUAAAAAAUAAGAAUUAAAUUGACAAUAAGGAGCCUGCCGUCAUUAAAAAAAAGUUUAAUUAGCAAUCCGUUAUCCAUUAUUGAUAUUGUAAAACUUUAUUACCAAAUAAAGUGUGUAUAUAUUUUUUAAUUAUUUUCCUUUUCUCAUUCAGACUUUGACGGAGUGAUUGGUUUGCGUCGUGUGUGCAUGAGAAUGUGUGAUUUCAAGACGUGAACUGGUUUGUUUCUUUUGGAAAAUAAUCCAAAAAGUCCAUUUUCCAUUUUUUGGGUUUGGAACUUGGCGUCGCUUCAUUAAGGAUUGGAGUCCAGUGCAUGAGAUAACCCAAACACACCCCCCCCAACGAAAAACACAAAGAAUUGAACUAUUGGCACCCCUCUCAUCUUCUCAUAAAACCUCCUUUUUAGUUAUAACCAUUUUAUAACAGACGAAGACAAAGCUGCUGUAAUGUCGGGAAGGCUGAGACGAAGCGAGUUGCUGCUGGAGUGAACAAAAGGAAAAGGAAUUGAAGUUCACGUGGGAGUGUUGGAGAAUGAGUUGAAAAUAGAAAGGAAAAGGAGUUGAAAGGGAGUGUUGGAACGGUUGGAACAGAUCUGUGAAAGUGAGUGGAAGAAGGAAAAGAAUUUGAAAGGGAGUGCUGGAACGGCUAGAACAGAUCUGUGAAAGCGAAGAAGGAAAAGAAUUUGAAAGGGAGUGCUGGAACGGGUCUGUGAAAGCUAAGAAGGAUAAGGAUUUGAGAAGGGAUUGCUGGAACGGAUCUGUGAAAGCGUGUGGAAGAAGGAAAAUGAUUUGAAAGGGAGUGCUUUUUCACAUGGGGAACAUAUUUUUCUUACUCACGUGGGGGUGAGGGGGGAAGGUGAGAGAACGAAACGGCAGCACAAGCUGCCGUUUCUCUUAGGGUUCCCGAUGUUUAGCAGCACUCUAUUGUAAAACUUUAUUACCAAAUAAAGUGUGCAUAUAUAUUUUAAUUAUUUUUCUUUUUCUCAUUCACGCUUUGACGCAGUGAUUGGUUUGCGUCGUGCGAGCAUGAGAAUGUGUGAUUUCAAGACGUGAGCUGGUUUGUUUCUUUUGGAUAAUAAUCCAAAAAGUCCAUUUUCCAUUUUUGGGUUUGGAACUUGGCGUCGCUUUAUUAGGGAUUAGAGUCCAGUGGAUGAGAUGACCCAAACCACCCCCUCCCCCCAACCAAAAACAUAAAGAGUUGAACUAUUAGCACCGCUCUCAUCUCCUCAUAAAACCCCUUUUUUUAGUUAUAUUCAUUUUAUUUUCGAAAAUGCCUUUUUUUUAUAUACAUUUUUCUAAAUUCUCAAUUUUCAUUUGAUUUAUUUUAUUGUUGAAACUCAAAGUAUUAUUGCACUAUUUUUUAAUUAUUUUCAAUUUUAUUAUUAAUCUACACACAAAUUAAAUUGAAAAGUUAUAUGGGUGAUAAGUUUUUUAGUGUUAAUCAUUGGCUAAAAUAACACAUAUUUAAGAUUAUAAUUUUAAAGCAAUUUUAAGUAUAAAAAUAUUUAAUCAAUAAGAAAUUAAAAGAGAACAAUAGAUUAUUUUAAAUUUAUACAAUUUAUUUUAGUUAAAUAAGAAGUAACAUAUAGAAAUUUUUUUUUUUGAAAAGGAUUAAUUAUAAAUUAAGUAAUUUGCUGGAAAAAAAUUUAUAUGCGUUUAAUUUUUAAUUGUCUUUAAUUGUAAUUUUAUUUAAAGUGAGAAUUUGUAAGAAUAAUGUAGGGGUGCAAAUAGCUCCACUCAAAAACAAAAAGGAAAAGGGGUGUUAUGACAACAAUGAAAGGGUGUUAAUAGCACAACUCUUCCAAGAGUCUGCCCAAGUCACGCACAGGCCCACAGAUGCUUGGUGGGCUCGAACGUCGCCGCCAUGGUGCUAUGGUCCACUUCUCGUCCCAUCAAAUAAUUCACUUUCAAAACAUCCAAUAAUUUAUUUGUACUACAAUGUAGUACUAGCCACAUGUACCACUCAAAACACAGAACCAAAUCAGUACUGCAACUUUGGAACUCCAUUUGAUAUUUUCUCCCACCUUGUAAAAUCAUCAUCCAACACCAAUAUUGAGAAUGAGAAAUGAAUAUGUGGAUAUUUUUUUUGGCCAUCAUAUUAAUUAUUAUAUGCAGACAAGUACAAGUGAAGUAAGAAACUAAUAAGAACACACAUAUUUUCGAAUUAUUUACAUGGAAAAGCAAUUGUUUCUGCCUCUUGUAACCGUCACUUUGACUGGCGGGGCGUCCUUAGUAAGAUACCUGUUACCGACAGCCUCCCAUCUCCUCGGAGCCGAUGGCCUCGGCAGAUUCUCGGGCACAAUGGUCUCCAACGAAUUGAGGUGCCACGGCGGGCACUCUCUCUUUUCACUCCACCUCGCUUUCGGCUCUGCAGUAGGGGUCGUCGUCGUCGUCAUCUCCUUUGCCAUCGCACUGCCAUCGCUCUCGCCCAUUUGUAUAGCAACUCCUCCGAAUGCCAUGCACGCGGCCGCCAUUCCCGCCACGCAUUGCUUUCUCCAUUUCUCGUCUCCACGCCGCGGCCUACAUAACAACAACGUACAUACAAUUAACAAGUUAAGAGCGAUUUUGUUAGAAGAAGAGGAUAUUAAUUAGUGAAAUAAAUUGAUGAUAUAAUUAAUUAAUGGUUAAUUGGGCUUACGGUGCAAUAGCUUGAGUUUGAGAUCGAAUUAUCUUUGAUGGGGGAGAUGGAGAGGAGAGAUUGAGACAGAAACUAUACGUAAUGGCCAUCAUGUUAAUUCAAAAUUUUCAAUUAAUAAUGAAGCAAGCAACGCAGAAGGAAGCAGCGGGGAUAUAAAUAAAUAAAUAAAUAAAUGGACACGCGAUUGACUGAUUGUACAAGUUAAAGAGAGCCGGGAAAAGAAGGAAUAGUAUGUAUGUCACAGUGGAUGGUCAGAGUACGGUGGCGGUUUGUGGAAUUGCCACGUGGGGUUCGAGUUUGGACCGAAGCCACCUAAUUUCGUAUUUGCAUUGGUAGUUGCUUGGCGUCUAUCGCCACUGCCAAGAAAUUUUACUUUGGAGACGCGUGUUGGCAAGGCCUUUCUCUGGACGGUGACGUGCUACUUUACCCUCAUGUGAUCAAUUUAUAUACCCAUGCUUCCAAGAAUCCUGAUCUCGACGGGCGAAAUAUACAGAAUCUUGAUUACGUAUGCUUUGGGUGGCAAAUUUUGCAUUUUCUUCUUCUUUCUUUCUUUCUUUUUUUUUUUAAAAAAAAAAAAAAAAAAUCUCCCGUCCAUUCAGAUACAAGCCUCUACUAAUCCCAGCAAUAAUUCAAGUAUUCGGAUGUUAUAAGAAACUUUGUUUGCUCUCUGCAUUAUUUGAGAUUUUCUCAUCCGUUGAAGUAAUGAGAAACAAAUAACUACUAGUGCUGUUGGCGAUUCGAUUGAUACGAAAUGGUAGAAUAUUAUUUAAGUCCAAUUUUUUUUUUCUCUUUCUCUUUCUCUUUUUCUUUCUCAAUAAUAAUAAUAAUAAUAAUAAUAAUAAUAAAUAUUAAUGAUUAAUGAUUAGUACUCAAGUUAAAAUUUAAAUACUAAGAUUUUAUUAUUACUCUUUUCAAAGAGACUAAAAACGAUAUCAUUACAUCACUAAUUAAAAUUAUUAUAACUUUUUUACUUUCCAAAUGAAUAGAUGUUUAUUAUACAAUGCCAUGAAUUGCACCUUUUUUUUUUCUUGAAUAAUGAAUUGUACCUUGUUAAUGACGAAAUUUAAGAUAUGGAUUAAUUCCCUUACCUGAAUUAUCUUAAAAGUCAAUCAACAUGAUUCACACUAUUUAUUAUUUAACAUAUAUUCAAAUCAUAAUUAAGCAUGUGAAAUCACAUGCCCCAGAUUCCAGAUUCAUACCAACCGUAUAUUAUAUAAAACAAAAUUAAUUAAAUCACCCAACAGUCAACAAUAGAGGCGAAGGUUACCGUCGUAACACUUCACCAUUAUUAUUAAUUAGGGGCAUAAUAAAUUCCAGAGGGUAGAAAUAUUCUUGUAAUUGAAGUUUGAAGAUCCUUAAAAAUCUUAAACCUCAACACCCCAUCACCACCCGCAACUGCCCAAAGACCGAGACGACACCGUUUUUGCCAAACCGACCAGUUACGACUCCGCAUUCACCAAAAAUCGAGACCCCUCGUGUCAAUCGCCCAAAAUCCCUCGCUCUUUCCUCCCGUCUCCGUAGAUCACAACAGUUUGGUCUCUAAAACCCUAAUUUCAGCUUUUUCAGUAAACCCUAAUUCUCACAAUCUCGUUAAAACACUCGAUUUUUUUUGUUUUUUUUGUUUUUGGGUACUCGAAACUCCAAAAUCACUCAUUGUAACUACCCUCUAUCGAAACCCUAAAAAGGAUUUGACUUUUUUUUGGCUUUAAGUUACUAUUAAAAUUCUGUUCAGUUACCACCGAGCCAACUCCAUUAAAGCUCUGAUUUUGAUUUCAUUGAUUUCAAUCUGUUUCCGAUUUAACUCGGUAACCGACUCAGUGAGUUUAGAACAGUUGAUGUGAUGGUGGAACAAGAUGGAGGCAAGUGAAGAAAUUGGUCGUUUAGAGAAUGGGAGUUCGAGCAGGAGUGGUCGCCCACCAAACCCUCCUACGGCGGCUGAUCGUACGGGUUUGACGAAUGACCGCGUGGUAGUGCCCCGUAAGAAGUCGCUCGUUCGCCACGCAUCUCUUGUAAUUAUUAUUUUUUUUAAUUUCCUCAAUUUUUAGAGUUUUUUAUAUUUCAAAUUUAUUUAUCGGUUAUUCAUUUGAUUUCUUGUACAAUUCUUGACUUACAAACUUCAAAAGUUGUUGGUCGAUUUUAAUUUGAUAUAAGAUUUGAAGGAUCCUAAUUCUUUUUUACUGGACUUUAUUUUCAGUUUUGAGCUAGUACAUUGGGCAAUUGUACAUUUUAUGUGAACAGUAUUACGUAUCCUUAUAUAUAUAUAUAUUCUCUGUUUGGAGUUCUACAUUAUGGGUAUGCAUGUUUUCUUGAGGAUUUGAUUGGGGCUUUAGCAGGUGAAGACAACGACGGCUUUGGAUGUUUCUGUUGAACCUGUGCUUGGCGUUGGAAAUCAUGAGACUGAGUUUGUUCCAGUUGUCCGCUCUGGAGCAUGUGCUGACAUUGGACUUCGUCCAACCAUGGAAGAUGUAUUUUUGUGUGUUGACAAUUUUAUGAGUGAUUAUGGACUCAAGAAUUUAAUAGAUGAGCCCAGUGCCUUCUAUGGGGUAUUUUCUUUUCCAUGACUUUUACUUGUGUGCAUUGACUUAUAUGGUUGUUGCAGUGAUGUGUGGUGAUUGUAGUGGUGCUUUGUUGCUUGUUUCUACUUAAUACAGCAGAGUAGGAAAAGUAUUAGGACGCAUAAAAAUUUUUUGUAAUUGACUUGCUUCCUUGUGUGGGUUGCAUACUUUGUUAGGAGAUCGGGAUAGUCAAGGUAGGAGCAGUAGUUUCUAGGUAUUGCAUACUGUGGAAUUUUAAAAUAUUUUUCAUUCUGAUGAUCAGAUGUUUGACGGACAUGGUGGAAAGCAUGCUGCAGACUUUGCCAGCUGUCAUUUGCCUAGAUUCAUCACUGAGGAUGAGGAAUUUCCUCAGGAAAUUGAGAGGGUUGUUGCUUCAGCUUUUCUGCAAACUGAUAGUGCUUUUGCAGAAGCUUGCUCCUUGGAUGCUGCCCUUGCCUCUGGUACCACUGCAUUAGCAGCUCUGGUUUUUGGGAGGUUAGUUUUUUUUGUCCGACUGAAUAUGCUGAUUAUGAUUUCAAGUUUUAUGCCUCAAGUCUUUUGAAUAUACUUUCGUGGGAUAAGAGUUCUCUUGCUGGUCAAAUGUCCAUAUGAUUCUAAACCAAAUAGUGUCUCUAAAGCCUGUGUAUUAGCCUAGAGUCUUGAUAAUUGAUAAUUGACAUGAUGUUCAUUGCUUCGUUACCAUUAUUAUCAUUUGUUCUUGAGUUGUAGUCCUAAACUUGAGGAAAAUGAAUGACCAUCUUUGUUUAACAUUGGGAAUUUUGUACAUGCAAAUUUAAACUGUUACAGGUUAACUGCUACACUGGAUUUGGUGAGUUUUCUGAAUUUCAACAGCUUUUGAAAGCAAACCAAUUCCCUCUUUCUCUUCUUUUCCAUUUUUUAGUCACACUAGUUUGAUUGUGAUACUCUAGUUUAUGACUUUAUGGCAAUAUUAUUCAUUGGGAAUUUUUUAUUUUCUGAUCAUUAUGGCCAGUGGGAUUUAUCUCUUAUCUAUAUCCAUUUCUUCUCGGUGCCAUUAGUGACAUGCCAAAAUCAAUUGUCCAUCUUCAAAUUUGGGGUUUUCUGGAUAGUAGGUUCAUGAAUGUAAAUUUAUCUUAAUGUGGUUUCUAUUAUGAGGACUUAAGUUCUUUUAUGUUAAUCUUUGUUUCGGUGCCAGGAGGCUGGUGGUGGCAAAUGUUGGAGAUUGUCGAGCAGUUUUGUGUCGCCGUGGUAAAGCUAUUGAAAUGUCAAGGGAUCAUAAGCCUGUUUGCAGCAAAGAAAAGAAGCGCAUUGAGGCAUCUGGGGGGUAUGUCUAUGAUGGUUACCUCAAUGGGCAACUUAAUGUAGCUCGGGCUUUAGGAGACUGGCACGUGGAAGGAAUGAAAGGUGCAGAUGGUGGCCCACUCAGUGCCGAGCCAGAGCUUAUGUCUACGAAACUGACCGAGGAGGAUGAAUUCCUCAUCAUAGCAUGCGAUGGGGUCUGGGAUGUGUUUAUGAGCCAAAAUGCUGUGGAUUUUGCUCGGAGGAGGCUUCAGGAGCACAAUGAUCCAGUCAUGUGUAGCAAGGAUCUUGUUGAUGAGGCAUUGAAGAGAAAGAGCGGGGAUAAUUUAGCUGUAGUUGUGGUUUGCUUUCAAUCCCAGCCUCCUCCAAACUUGAUUGCUCCGCGCUCAAGGGUGCAAAGGAGCUUUUCUGCUGAGGGUUUGAGGGAGUUGCAAAGCUUCUUGGAUAGCUUAGGAAAUUGAGAUGGUGACGAAUGCUUGUCUAUUUGUCCUUUAAGCCCUUCUAAUUUAAUUGUAGUCUUAGAUAACGAGAGAAUUGAGUUCAACUGUAAUAUAUGCAGCGGCAUGUUGAUAACAAUAUAUUGUUCUCAUUUAAAUUGGUUUUUUAAUUUGUAUUUUUGAAACAACUCAUUUAUAUUGUUUAGGUACAAUUAUUUUACUGCAUUAUGUGUCUGCUAUUUUCGAUUCAACUUUUGCAUCAAGCUGCAGAAUAAUAAUAGCUGAUCAAUUUUAAGUUUUUCAUAAGUGGGGUUGGAGUUGAAAGUGGGCGGCACUCUUUUUUCUGUCGUACAAAAACUUUCAAUUUCUGUGAUGUUUUGGUAUCUUGAUGAGUUGUCGUUUGUUGCAUGUAAUUAUUCUGUUGUAAUAUUGACUACUCAUAAAUCUCAUCAAGGACAUCAACAUUCAAAAACUGUCUAUUUGUGAUGUUCGGCUGGUUCUGAGCUCUCAAUUUAAGUCAAAACUUCUGAAGUUAAUCGGAGUUUUCGAUUGCUUUGAACUUUGAAGGGACCAGAAGGGGGAAAAAAAAAAGAAAAAAGAAAAAUCUUUGUGAUCUCUAGUGAAUCUUUCAUUAGAAACAGUUCUGAGCGGUGUAAUGGUAGCCCCUGCGGUUCCAUACGCUCCCAUGUUGGCAGUAGAAUUCUUAGGAAAUUUUUUGUUUUUGCUUUUUGUAUCAUAUAUGUAUAUGUACAUGCAUCCGAAAAAGGGAAGAGAAAAAGAGACAAGUGCACAAAAAAGAGAUACAUAAUUCACUCGACAAAAUUCUUGCAUUGAAUAUUUCUUCUUCUGGGAGAGAGUCGCCUUAAUAGGCCUUCGGCGUAGGCUCUAGAAGGUCCAGUGUGCAUUUUUCUGGUUUGCUUGAUCUGGAAGAAAGCCAAGACCAGACUUGGGGAAGACGCAUCUUUAUGUUGGUAUAUGCAAGUAUGUAACAUCCCCACUGCUCAUCUAUGUUGGAAGUUGAACGCCUUGAUUGAAUACGCAAAGGUGAAGCCGAAGAGCACAACCAAUCCCACAUGUACUACUGCAACGACUCCUAACAUAUCGUGAUCAUACCCAAAAUAAUCCUUCACAAAAUCUCCUACCUUCUGGCCAGAAUCAAAUGUGUCAUUCACAUCUCCAAAUUGGGAAGCAACAAGUCCAUACAGUGUCCACGAGACGGGGCAUAUCCAACAGUACCAUCUCCACCAAAUUGGCAUCCUCUGUUACAGAAGAAGCAUAGUCCUCGUUGGUUGAACUGUUGAAGUUUCCUUUUGUCGACUCAAUACAGAAAGAAAGUAAAAAGAAGCACAAAAGGAUGAUAGUAACUUACAGGUCGAGGAAUGAUAAAUCCUGAAAAAAGGUUCCAUAAUACAUAGAAGGCGGAGGCAAUGAUGGCAGCAAUGUUAUGGUUUGGAGUUACGGCCACAGUCAUCAUCCCGUACAACGUGAAGUAUAAAAAUGUGAGGUACAUGAAGAGGAGGUACCACAAAAACUUGCUGACUGUCCAGUCAAAUCCAAUCAUGGCAUAUACUAUUACCCCGUAUAUAACAGCCUGUAUGAAGAUGUGAGGCAGCUCAAUCACAACCUGCAAAGCAAUGAGAUUUGGUAAGACAUGGUACUUGCAGUAACUUAGAGAAGCUUCUUGUCAUCAGAGUAUUAUAGUACCUGGCCAAAGGCGUAUGGCAAAGCUGAAUACAUGCCCGCAGCUCUUUCUCUAUAAAAGACAGUUCUCUCAACAGCCACAACCGGCUGCACUGAUGUUGCAUUUUGUACCCCAAGAAAGAGAAUAGCAGCAUACAUUGAGCCCAUUGCAUUAAAGAGAUCUUGUCGGUUUGCUCUGUGCUUGCCAAAAGUUCCACAAGAAUUAGGGAUAGUGAUGAGACUAACUGUGACUUUGAAUUUGCAAUUUGCUCUACUUUUCAUCUUACCUUUUGGAGCCUAUAUCCCAGAAAAUUGUCCCAAACAUCAAAGCUAUAAAAGUUGUGAAGAAAAGUCUCACUGCGGUGUACGGUGGGUUUCGCCAAUAUGAGAGAUGCUGCUUCCACAGACAAGCCAUGCACUGUGUGAAGAAAGACUGUGAAUAUCUGGUUUGAAAGUAUAGAUUUUUUGAACCCGGGGGAGGUAUGCUUAGUUCCUUGAUCAUCUCUUUGUUUCCCCUGCAUUGUUUCAAGAUCAAAUACAAUAAAAAUAAAGCACAGAAGCUUAAAAAUGUAAAUGAAAGCAAUUUUCUUCUAUUUGUGAAACUGUGAGGUCGUCUUACUUGUAUAACUCAGAAUUUUUGUACACUUUGGCGAAGUUGAUUCCAAGAGCUGCUUCUUGUGCUGGUGUUGUAACUUCUAACAUCCAAGUUGCAGGAUUGUAACCCUCUUUAAUCUUAGGUACUCCAUCAAUUCCCUUUAUAAACAAUGGCCACACGAGUUUAUAAUUUCUUGAUAAAAUGGAAAAUAUCUUGAACAUCAUUAGUGUUUUAGCCUCACCUCAAAGUACUUGAUCAGUUGGGAACAAUGGCGGCCUAAUGGACCAACAUAUAUCUCUUCACCUCCCCGUUUCAUCAGGAGUAGCUGAAAUGCAACAUAAAAGUUACCAUUAGUUUCUAUGGUAACCAAAAUAAAUUGACAGUUCAUUAAUAUUGAAUUAAGAAGAUGUGUUACCUCAUCAAAGGCAUCAAAAAUAUCAAUGCUUGGCUGGUGAAUUGUGCAAACCACGGUUCGUCCUGUGUCCACCGUGUUCCUCACUGUUCUCAUUACUAUUGCUGCUGCCCUAGCAUCUAAACCAGAAGUUGGCUCAUCCAUAAAUAUUAUAGAUGGAUUUGCAACAAGCUCCACUGCAAUGGUUAGCCUUUUCCUUUGUUCAGUCGACAGUCCACUCACACCAGGCAAUCCGACAAGUGCUUCCCUUAUUGGAUUCAGCUCCACAAGUUCCAUUACUUCCUCCACAAACAUCUGCCGACCAUCAGUUAAAAUCUGGUCAGCAACCUAAACCAAUUCAAAUUGUAGAGAAGAAAAUUGCGGGUUGAUCAAUAUGUUUCUAGCAAUACCUUUCUAGUAUCAGAAUCAACCUCAGGCGGCAAUCUAAGCCAAGCAGAAUAAACUAAGGACUCGUAGACUGUAACGUGAGGUGAGUGGAUAUCAGUUUGCUCACAGUAUCCUGAAAUGCGAGCAAAAGUUUCUUGGUUCUUUGGGUACCCAGAUAUUGUGAUACUACCACUGACGUAUCCACCUGUUUUCCUUCCGGCCAAAACAUCCAUUAGAGUGGUCUUGCCAGCACCACUGACACCCAUUAGGGCUGUGAGGACUCCUGGCCUAAAAGCACCACUCACACCCUUCAAAAAUUCUAGCCGAUCAUCAGGAAUACCUUGAGCUUUCAUUUCCUGUAAACAGAAUAGCUGAUUUCAGUAUGCAGGAAAUUUUUAGUGCAAAGAAUGUGAAGGUUUCCUUUGGUUAUGAUAGCCACAAUAAAGCAGUGACAUAAAAACUCAACAAUUUGAAAAUGCUUAAAUCAGGGGAAACUUGAGAGUACCUGUGGCAUGUCUAAUGCGUAUCUGAUAUCAUCAAAAGUGAUGGAGUGAGGUUCAAAAGGAAGAAUCAUUCCCCGCUUUCUAUUCUGAUCUGCUUCAUUGAAGCUUCUUACUCUUGCAGACAAAGUCCUGAAUGAUACAUUUCUAUGGCUUUCAUUCCCUCUGUCUGCAUUUAUAUUCAAAGGAAUUGAUAUUCUAAUUUCUUUUCCACGAAGUUAUGAAAUGGAAACGAAAAAGUCUCAACUCAUAACUCACCAUAAGAGCUCUGUACUCCGGAUGAUAACUCCACAGGCUCCUCAGUUUUGCAAGCAUUUUUCUUAGCCAAGGCCUCUUCGGAUAAUAUUGCCUGAGGCUUCCCAAAUGCUGCAGCAAAUUAUUCCAAUAAUCAGAAUAUUCACCUUGAGCUUUAAAAGAAGUGUAAAAAAGAGGGUGCUUACGGUCAAGAUACUUCAGAGCCACGGUAAAAAGGAAAUUGAAUAGAAGAACAUAUCCGAGCAAAGCUCCUACUCCAAUCCAAUACCAAUAUGCAUUAGGGAAAAGGCCACGAGACUUCAAGAUUACAACACCUAAUGGUUCUGUGGAAUUAGGAGGGACCUAGGACCCAAAAGUUGAAAAAGAAAUUAGCUGUCGUUCUAAUGUUAUUUCUUCACAAACUUGAGGAAAAAGAUUCUUACAUGACCCCAGCUCUUGCCGAGAAAUUCAUUCACUGCUAAAGCAUUCUGCCCAUACAUCAUUGGUGAGAACCAAUAACCCCAUAACCACCAUUUCUUAACAUCAUCUGAUGCAAAACAUAAAAGGUUCUUUCGUCAGAGUUAUAUUCACAUCCCCGUAAAAAACUUUUAGGUUGAAUUGAGUUAUUCUUUUCACCUCUUGAUAAGAUAAAUCCACCCAGAACAAGGACUGUAAGGUUAGCAAAUGAACCAAAUGUGUUUGCAACAAUUAUAUUCCUUCCAAGUGCACCCAUUAGUCGGAAGAGUCCUGAAGCUGUCUGAUUUACGCAUAGGAGCAAAAAGUACUGCUUGACAAACCUGUAAAUGGAGACAUUUAUCAAGUUAUAGAACCCAAAAAAGUGAAACUUUGAGAUGUAAAGUGAUCGUUUUACACACCUUUCAAUGUUGGAUUCGAAGCCUACAACAUAGUAAGUCAUGAAAACCCAAAUGCCAACUUCAAUAAAGGUUAUUGGUAUCUUAAGGAUCCACGUAGGUAACGAGUAUGCCCAUGCAGGAAAAAAGAGAAAGUCCCUUUGCUUGUAAAAGACAGGAAGUUUCAUGAUAGUCAUUGAAAGCUCUGAGAAUCCGUUAAACAUUAUUGUGAUGACAGCAAAGAACAAAGCUCCCAUAUAAAUCCCACCAUCUUCUACUGUACUCCGGUGCAUCUCAGUUCUCAGAAACAAAGUCAUUGCCACAGAAGCCGAGAAAAAUAUCUGAAAAUUGAAAAACAAAAUUAGGUCGUGUUGAAAUCCUUAAUUAGAAAUUCUUUUUUUCUCUAUCGUAAGUUACUUAAAACGUUACUCACCUGAAACAUUUUAAAAAAGUAGACGAAUGAGUUCCUCUUCAUGAGCAAAUAUUCUCUUGCGAAGCAAGCUUUCAACAGUUCCUUCUUGCUUGCACCAUACUUCUUGGUUGUUAAAGCAGCGGGGUGGCUUUUGGACUUGUCGAAUGGAGUAGCAAGCUCAUCACCUAGCUUUUGGCCAAUAUGAAAUGAUUGAAACACUUCAGAAAAUUCCUUUGCAGUAACAAAGCUAUAAGGCUCAUCUUUAUUUGCCCAGUACUGCUCUUGAUCUUUCCUUGAAGUCACCUGUUUAGCAACCCCACAAGAAAAUAAACAAAAACAUAUAUAUGUCAAUUUGUUUCAAAAAGGUUGUUUAAGUGUCCAAAAAUAUUACAUCUUUUCAAGAUAUGAACUUACCUCUUGUAAGAAGUCAGCAACUCCUUUCCUCUCGGGGCACUUGAAGCCCAUGCGUUCAAAGAACUCGAGCACAUUUUCACGGGGACCUUGGUAAACAAUUUGCCCAUCUGAGAGAAGAAUUAGAUCAUCAAACAGUUCAUAAGUUUCCGGUGCUGGCUGGAGAAGAGAGAUUACUGCAGUUCCAUUGAGAAUGUGAAUGGACUGUCUCAAAGAGUUCACUAUUUGGUAAGUCGUUGAGCUGUCCAAACCAGUAGAUAUUUCGUCCAUGAAAAGUGCUCUUGCAGGCCCAACAAGCAUCUCCCCUGUCGUGAGACGCUUCCUUUGCCCGCCAGAGAUUCCUCUUAACAUUUCAUCUCCCACCAUUGUAUCUGCGCACACUUCUAGUCCCAAAAUCUGCACAUUUCAAAAUCGAGGAACCGUCGUGAAACCACGAUUCCGGCAUGAAAAUUUGUCAACUUUAGGCAUUUGAUUACAUAGAUAUUACUAAAUUAAUUACGGAGAAUCAGGAUUCCAAAUCUCUAGGCACCUUGAGCACAUAAUCUGUAACCACAUUUUUCUCCUGCCCUUCUAAUGAUGCUGCCUGCAAAAAUCAUUUAUUGGUAAAUUAUAAAAAAAAAAAAAUUGCCAUGACAGAAACUUUGUAGAUACUAAAUCAAAUUUUUUUUUAUCUCACCUUCAUGAUAAGAUCAAUAUCAGGAUCUGGCUUGAUAUUUGCAGCCUUUUCUCUUCUUGACAGUUCCUGCAACACCUCUGCAUACACAGAAUCAUUGGUUUAUUGUUUAUGCAUACACAAACUAGCUUAUGCAAUUUAAUUUAACUACAAUAGGCAAAAGUACACUGACCAUAACGGGGGCCAACUCCUUGGCAUCUUGCCGAGAAAGCCAGUGUCUCUCUCACUGUCAUCUCUCCAAUAUGAAGAUCAUUCUGGCUUAUAUAAGCCGAUGUCCUUUGCGGCACAAACUCUUCCAUUCCAUGUCCAUUGUAUGUGACCCUACCCGAAAACUGAAUUUUGAUUUGUGCCCAUGUUAGCUAAUAAGAUGAAACAAUAAAAAAGAUAGAAACAUUUGUAGACGAAUGUAAUAUUAAUUGCUUGCUUACUUUCAAAUCUUUUCCAAGUUUUCCAGCCAAAGCUAAUAGUAAGGUGGUCUUUCCAGAGCUUGGAGGGCCUAAAAGCAAUGUCAAUCUGCAAAAAAUGAAUCAAUUUAUUGAGACUUUGAAGAGUUUAUAAUUGAUGGUUUCUGAAAGAACUAAUGUCAAUCUUCUCACCUUUGAGGUUUGAUGAUUCCACUUACAUCAUGAAGAAUUGUUAGUGGUUUCUUUCUACUUGGAAGAACGUGAAGGUAAUUCAAGAAGCCCUGUGCAAAGAAACAGAACAAAACUUUAGAAAAGUCACUGGUGAAAAUUCACAGAUAAAUUUAAGCCUAUGAUAUACACACCUCUAACAUGUUAGCACAGGAAUUGAAGACAGUUGGUAAAGCUCUACUUCCUAUAUAAGCUUCUGCUUCAACAUUUAAAUGCUCGAACCGGACUUCAAUUGUGGGAAUAUCAAGCCCCACCCUGAAAUUAAAUAUCAAACAUAACGAAACAACCGUCAUUAAAAUGGUGUAAACUCUAAAAGCACAAAGAAAUGGAAAAAAAAAAUUACAAGUUAAAUAGUACCUUUCAAUGCGGUCCUUGAGCUUCAACAAGAACUUCUCAUUAUCUUCUUCAGCAAUUUUAAGAAGCCUCUCUAUAAGAUUCCUUCUUUCUAUGAAUCCAAGAUUCUUAAUAUCAACCUCCCUUGCUUGGCCUUCAUCUUCAGUAAGCAUCCCUCUCUGCACACGCAGAUAAGUAGGCAGUUUCUCGAUAGCUGCCCAUGUCAAUGCUUCAUCAUCAUCAUAAGUAUCUUCUCUUGAAGACCUUGCAAAAACAUCAAGCGUAUUGUUUCUCCAUAUGCUUGAACUGCCUAAACGUGCACUGCUGAUUCUAAAUGAAGCUUGACCUGCAUCCAUUUGCAUUGCUAGCUGCUGUUGUAUUAUUGUGUAGCAAGCAAUGCUAAGCUAUAUAAACCUAGAAGGCCAAGAGAGAGGCUUUAACAUUCAUUUAAAGAACUUUCAUGAGUUAAAAGAACGGUAACAGCUCAGUAUCUGAGAUAUGUCUCUAUCUUUCCUCUCGAGUGUUUAUGAAUGGACAGAGAGGUACAACAAUGUCUGUGUCUUUCCUCUGUCCCUUCAGAAUGUGAAUAUUAAUAAGAUUUAGAAAGUUUGAAUUUCUUUUGAGGUGUUGAUUUGAACAAACGGUUGCAUAUAUGUAACUUUAUAACCACACAAACUAUAAUGGGUCGACCUUCUUACUUCAUGAUGAUGUUUGAUUUUAGUGCUUAUGUCAUAAAACAAAUGCAACGGCAGGUGAUGAGGGUGCAUCGAACUCAUUAUAGAAAAAGGAAAAAAGAAAACGUCAGCUGGGCCUCGGCAGCUUAACAAUUUUUUUUUUCCCAUCUUCUCUACAGUAAAUAUACAUUUCUAAUUGUACCAUAUACAAUCAUUAUUAGUCUGUUUAGGAGUGUGGUAAGGUAACUGAGUUGCCAAAGCUUAACUAUUAAGGUGUUUAGUAACAUUUGUAAUUAAACUUUGACAACUUAGCAAAUUUUUUUUUCUCAACUUCUAUUUCAUAGCUGUAACUUUUAUUCCACAACAGCUGCAACUUAAAAGCUACAACAGCUCACUCCCAAACACACCCUACAUCUAUUUGUGACGCGAGAUUUUUCAAAAUUUAGGAGAGGAAAUUACUAAAGAAAAUUGGAUGAAAUUAAAAGAGUUUAUACGAAUGCGUCCCUGGGAUCCCUCUUGGUUUGUGAUUUAUGCAAUUAUUGAUUUUUGGGAUCAACUGUUUCUCAAGUAUUAUCCAAUAUCCAAUAAUAAUUUUCAUAUUUUCACCAUUUUUUUUUCUAAGAAUAACACAAUCUGGCAAACUCAGAUUUGGCUUACAAAAUUAUGUAUUUAAUUAGGUACCAUGUAAAUAAAAUUCUGAACUGUACAAGACCUCUAUUGUAAUGUGACUAGCUGCCGACUUAAUAUUUUAACUUGAAUAAUUAAUUAAUCUAUGAGUAAAGGAAAGGAAAGAUUCUGCUAGGAAAUAAAUGAAAAAAAAAAAUUAAUUAAAUAAACAAAUAUACAAUAAUUGAUAUGUCUCUACUCCCGAAAGGAUUAUUCAUUGUUCCUUCCACCGCACUAAAUGACUCAUUCAUUGAUUCAUAUGAUCCCGAGGAGCCUGCAUGGCAGCUAGCUAGCUAUGUCCAGGAUCAUAUAUAUGUAUAUAUGAACUGCUAAAUGUAGUAAUUAAAAAACUAAUGUGAAAUAUUUGUAGAUUAUUAAUUUGGAUUUGCUGUGUCGAGGAUCAUAUUUGUCAACGCAGCUCUACGUUAUAUUUUGAUUUUCUAAAAAUAUUAGUCACCUCAAGGCACGUGCUAGUUCUUUGAAAUACAAAGCUCUAGAGAUCAAGUAUCAAGCCUCUCAAGCCUCAAUAUUGGUAUGUUUAAUCAUGUCUUGAUUGUCGUAAAUGAUGAUGAUGAUGAUAAUUAAUCCCCGGCACGAAAAGCUUUCUAUAAUAUACUUACCUUCUACCCGGAAGAUACACAGAAGAUUUUGGUGUAAAAAUCUAUAAUUUACGAUAAAUAAUGUUUUAUAGGGUUAGAACAGAAAUAAUUUUUGGAUUAAUCUACUGCAUUUAAUAACCAUAUCGGAUUUAAUUUAAAUGGACGAAAGAGUGUUGAUAUGAGAUUAUGAUCAUCUCCUGAUCUGAUUUUCAUCUGAGUAAAUUUUAAUAUGAUUGGUGAUUAAAUUAAAAAGAAAAAAUAGUUAAAUCAUAAUCAUCUACUAAUACUAAAACACAAGUGGCAUAAAAUUUAUAAAAUAAAUUAAAAGUGUUCAGAUUAAGAGAGGAUCAUGAUCCGUUAACCUGACGGUCAAAUAAUUAUCCGUGUAACAGUUUAUGUAAAAUAGAGUGACAUGAUUGAAGUAGAACCUGCCACACAAUUAGGAACACAUUAAUUGUUGGGUUUCCAAAGUCAAAACUUGCCAUACGAGGUAUGCAUGUAUAGCAUCAACCUAUAAGCAAGUCGUACAAAAUCCUGAAAGAGAUCUUGCCUCUACAUGCAUUGCAUGAAUGCAUGUGCCUUUUACCGAACGUAAUAAUCAAUAAUCAAUAAUAAUAAUAAUAAUAAUAUACAGUGAUACACAUCAUCAUUUAUUAUUCCCAAUCAUUUUCUUGAUUAAUUAUGAAUUCUAUUUUCCUUGAAUCCAUUGUAUUGUAUCAUUGAUUAAAUAUAUCUCUAAGCUCGAAAUGAUGGAUUCGUAUACUUGUCAUUGUAAGGAUACAGAGAAGAGAAAAGGUCAUCACUACGUACGAAUACGAUAUUGAAGUCUCCAAGACAAAUGAUCAGGAAAUGAUUUUGUUCACAGAUUUUUAUUAAUUAAUUAAAUUACCAAAUUCAAAGUUUCAAAGCCCACAUUAAUGUUUUGGAUCUGUGGAUCAAUCCUGAUGUCCCAUGUGUACGAAAUCCCUAUUGCCGCGGAGAAAUCUUCUGUUUCCACAAUUACUUCAUUAAUCUUUAUUUUAUUAUAUAGUCAAGUCUCGUAUAAUUAAUUAUUAGUAUUCCUUGAAUUAAUUUUUCCUGUACAUGCAUCUUAGUGCGUGGCGCGAAGCCUGUAAAAUAAAUUGUCUGUACAACGUGUGAUUGAUUCACCUUAUUUCUUGCUAUUUUCAGGCUAAUCUAUUUGACGAGGGAGAGAAAAAUAUAUUUGAAUGCAGUUAUAAUUUCAAUUAAUUAGACUUUAGGCUUAGAUAUCAAUUUUAAGUUGAUCCUUGUUUUUUUUUUUUUCAAAAUAAUUAAAAAUUUUUAUAAUUGUUUCUGUUAUUACUAAAAUUUGUAAUUUUCUUUUAAAAUAAUAAAAUAUGCAGGCUAUCUAAAGUCAAGAACGAGAAAGAGAAACUCCAAUAUAAUGAGGUUUCUACUCCAUAAUAUGCAUGGAAAUUAAAGCUCAAACACUUGACAUUAAUAAUGAGAUGAGUAUGUGACGACCAUUAAUUUUGUUAAAUGUUACUUUUAGAGCGCCUAAAAACUACUGUACUUUUAAGAGUAAUUAAAAAAAUAAUUGUUUUCUUUUCAAAUUAAAUAAUUAAUGAAGAUUUCAAUUCUUGCUAAAAUGUAAGGAUUAAAGACCAAGUAAGCAAGUGAUGUCCAAGCCUGAAGUCUAAUGGAUCGAAUUUUUUUUGACAUUUGAGGUGCUAACUUCACGAUCAACUACUUUAUUAUAAGUGUGAUACAUGAGGACGAGAAGAAUAUUUGUAUUUAAUAUCUUAGUAACAUUGUUUUUAUAGUGAUCGACGAAAAUUAAAUAUUUGUUGAGAGUUUGUCGGUUGACUCUUUUAUUUCUAGGUUUAAAAAUUAUAAAUUAUUGCUUAUAAAGUUUUGUACUUUUAGAACAUUACAUGUCAAUGAAAUAUUAAUUAAAGAGGAAUCAAUUAAGACAAGUUGAUUAAGAGUGGCAUUUUUAGCUGAAUUCUAAAAUGUCACCAAAUGGAAUCUUUCUGAGAAAAAAUUCUCCUGUUUUAGUAGUAACAACAACAUAUUGCCAGUUUUGUCUCAUUGUACCGUGUCAUGCAAAUUGCUUCCAAAUGCAAAUUGCAAAAUAUUUUAUACUUAAUUAGGUUAUCUUGUCUCUCACUUUUCUUCUUUCUUUUUUUUUUUUCCUUUACUGCAGCCAACCGAAGAAAGGAAAAAGGAAAAAAAAUAAAAAUAAAAGAAGCCAUUUGAUGUUGAAGAAAGAAAAUUACAUAUAUAUAUGGAGAUUCUUGAGAUAGUUUUAGCAUAUUCAGGGGAAGCUAGAGGUUAAGAUUAAAUGAUUCGAUUUUGUACACAGCCAUUAUAAUACCAACGAAGUUGCUUAACUAACUCUAUAUUCAGUGCAUUUGAUAUAUUAAAUAAGCAAUAAGUUAUUUUCAAGUAUGGUUUUUAUUAUACUCACAUUUUUAUCAAACUCGAUCCGAUGACAUAAACUAAUGGCCCUCGUGUCCCAAAAAUAAAACAAUACAAGUUCUAAUCCUCAUUAGACUCGAAUCCUACAAAAUAAGAAAUAAGUAUAAGAAGAUAGGGUAUAAUAUCCUUCAAACUUUUCUGCUAUUCUCUUUUCUCUCUUUAAUUAUUAUCUUUGUUUUUUUAAUCGUGCCAUUCUCUAUCUCUAACUUAAGCAUCAAAGAGUCCACACUCAUAAAAUCCCUGGCGGUUUCAACCACUUAAUGGGUUAUUAUGUUAUAAGAUUCCAACCACUGAAUUCUUUACUCUCAAUAAUAACAAUUCCAAAGAUAUCAAGCUCUCUUACAACUUGUCCUCUAAAUAAAACGAUUUGUUCUCAACAAUUGUUGUUGACCCAAAUUUUUGUAUCAACAGUUCAACUUCUUAAUCAAUGUGAUUACAAUUUAACAAGUCAUGGCCGUCAGCAUUAAUUCGUUUACUGCUCAAAUCAGCAAUCAUUUGGAGUGAAAGAUUGCUGGUGAUAACCAGAUAUUUAUUUAUAUUGACUUGUACAUUAUGCAAUAACCAAAGGGGCGUCUGUAGUCCAACGGUUAGGAUAAUUGCCUUCCAAGCAAUAGACCCGGGUUCGACUCCCGGCAGACGCAUUUUUUGCGUUUUAAAAUUUUCAUCAUAGGUUAAUGGUUUACACUUUUCCCAGGUUAGGUUAAGCCUUAAAAGUCUUCGCAUCACUGUGUGUACGCGGCCUGCAGAUGAACGUACGUCGUAGAUCAUGUGAUUAUAAUAUCUUAAUAGCCUCUGUUACGAUUUAGCGGAGACACACAAUCAACAUUGGAACUUGGAACUGUCAACCCUGCGUGAUUAAUGACUUUAUAGAGGACAGUAAGUGACAAGUCUCAAACUCUUCAUAAUGUGGACAAAUCUGAUCAAACACGUUUGCUUAAAGGUGUCUUAUCUCAUGUUCUGCGACGUAAGUGUUCUUUUAGAACUGAUUAAAUAAAAUUUAUUUUUAAUUUUCAUCUGGAAAUAAUUUGACAUUUCCUUGUACUUAAAAUUUAUGUCUCUGGAGUUGUGCCAACGGGAUAGACGCAGCCGACGUGAGUUAGGCGUGUUGCCAAAGUUGUGGGCCUUGAGAAAGGCCGAUUUUCAAACCUUUGAAGUUGUGGGCUAAAUGAGCCAGAUCUCUCGUCAAUCCGAACAGAGCUGUCAUUCUUCCGAAAGAUGAAUGUUGUGUAUUCCUUUGAAAUUGGAGAAAAUGCAAUUUUGGGGUGGGAUAAAUGUUUCAAUCAUUCAAUAGGUUUGUUAAAAAAAGAAAAAAAAAAAGAAUUGAUUUCUAAAUCUUUGAGUGUUUUUAGUGUGUACACAUUCUUCUACUACAUACUUAUAUCUAAUCUUUCAAAAUUGGUGUAUUGAAAGAUACACAUACAAGACCCUAUAACAAAAAAAAUAUAAAAUGUAAGUGCCAUGAAUACACAUGCAUAGACAAAAGUAUAAAAAAUAGUUUAUAAUUGAUCAAUUUAUAAAAAGAUUGAUGUAAUAUAUAAGAAUACAAUUAACGAGAGAUAUCAGACCGUCUCACUUAAGACUUUCUAUUUAAAUAGCAUAAUUUAUUAAAUGAAAUCCCAUCUAUUUAGCUAAGGCGCUCUAACUACAUGAUAAUACGUACUCGAGCACUUAUUUGCACUAAACCAAGGUCACCAUUUUUCCCUAAACAAUACAAUAACUAUCUCUACUACUUUUUGUUUAUCCCAUCAAUAUAGUUGGAUUAAAGCGUAGAAUAAGAUCAUCGUCGCACAGCUUACUCAGCUCAUCUGCAGGGAGAGUAACCAUAACCAUCCUGCUCAGCGGACCCUCACUUGGCGGUGACUGAAGGACCAGAAUCUGUCCAAUCCCAAACACAGGUUCUACAUAGUAAGAAACUCUUAUUGGCACAAAACCUUCUUCAAACAGAGUCGCAUAUGGGUCCAAAUCCUCUAAGUUAGCACAAAUCAGAUCAUGACCGUUCAUCAAAGGAGGAAAUUCGUAAUCAUGGUGCUCCAGCCAUUCGAUCAAAUCCAUGAUUCUUUCAUUAUUCAUUUUUGUCACCGAUUCUCCUACAGCCCUAGCAGCUUCCGAUAAUUCACUUUUGUCCAAUAAUGACUCUGCAUGAUGAACCUUAUUAUAAACCAGGCAGUUUCCAAAAAACCCUUUGUCUAAUCCUAACUGUUUUCUCAUAUCUAAACAAAUAGACAUGCUUAUCAGCCCUUGUUUCAUUCCUUUCACCUUGCUUACGCAAACCCACAAGAGCCCUGCCAUUGCCUCGAAGGGAGAUGGCCUCGAAGUGUCUAGCAUGCAGGCUUGGACCAUAGGGCCUGAAAAUGCUAGGGUGGCUGUUACAUAAUUUGUAAUGUUAUUGGUGAAUGCAGGUGAUCUGUCAUCAAUUGUGGAUUUGUAAUGGUUGAUUAAGUCGGUGUAGGGAUUGUGGUUUGGGUUCUUGUUGCCGAGUCUUGGAGGCGGCAACGGGUGGAAAAACGGCGGAGCCAACAUGGUUCCGGCUAAGGUUGUGUCAGCCCAGGCCUUGACGAACAUGGUAGCACUAGUGGGAUCAGCAAGGAGAUGGCUGCAGCUGAAGCCUAUUGCUAGGCCACCUUCUUCAAAUUCAGUCAGCUGCAAAAAUCAAUAAUUAACACAAAGAUUAUUAAUUGAGAAAUGGAACUAAGGGCUAAGGCUGCUUCUUUUUACUUUAGCACCAUAUGCCUUUCAAGGGUAAGGCUCAUUCUUUUCUUUUAUUUUAAUAAAAUUUCCUUGUUCCACUGGGAUUCAUUUUAAAGGAAAAAAAAGAAAAAAAGAAAAAAUGAAAAUAAUAGAACUAAGGCACAAAUAUAUGUAUAUGUAUAUGUAUAUGUGUGUGUGUGUAUACAUUUUACAUAUCUAACUAAGUGCUAUAUAUAUUCUUUUAAUUAAUAAAACUACCAUCCUACUGUCGAAGUUUAUUAAAAUUAAUUGUUAAAAAAAGAAAGAAAGAAAGAAAGAAAGAGGGCUUACCUGAACAUAAAAUGUAGCCCAAAAGUAAGGCUUAUGAAACAUAUCUUCCCACGUAACGAGCAUAAGCUCCUUGUCUCUAUUCACAUUCUUUAACCAUUCCUCUACACUCCCUUGAGUCCUGGCCUCCACCAUUCUAACUCCAGCGUCAUUGCAUUUGAUCAUCCAAUGCCCGUCAUCUUUCUUCUGCAACCGUCCGGUGACUAUAGGAAAACAAGUAAGCACAUGUGAUAAACUCUCUCUCAGCUUCUUGGUUACCACUCCGGGUUCCCCAUUUCGUGUGGAGGGGAAAUAGUAAACGAUCCGUAUGUGAUUCUUCUCCAUGAGCCGAUCAAAAACCGACAACGGAUUGCACUUUCCGGCCUGCGCUGGUUUUGUGCUCACCACCGUUCGUUUGCAAAUGUAUGUGAUCAUUUCGGAGGUCAUAUAUGGCCUAGGAUAUUACUUAUUAGGGAGAAGAAGUAUACUUUUUUAGAACUGAUUUUUAUUGGGUUUAGGAUUUGUAUUUAAUUUGCUGAUAAUUUAUAGAGGUUUCGAGGACCAUUUUAAUUUCAUGGUUACCAGAAAAAACAACCCUCGAAUAUUUUGGGAAAUGGCAUUCUCGUGAUCCGAAACCAUAUUGCUUUACCCGAGUGAAACUUAUCUUUGUGAACUAUUGUACAUUAAUUUUUGCUAUUAAUGUCUAUAUGCAUGCUAAAAUUUUCGUCUUUCAGUGACCCAAAAAUGAUCAAUCCCCAAAAGUAAUAAUAUCUUAAAAUUUCUUUCUCCCUUUUUUUGGGUUACUUUAUCCAUUGUGUUGUUUUAACUAUUUUUUUAAAGAAAUAAAUUUCACCGGGGUGUUAAAAGGUCCACUCAAUGGCAAAGUAUACCCCAUUAUCGGACCUAUGACUUAAAUAGAACCCAAAUUGGACUUGGGCUGCGGAGUGGACAAUUACGAAAUUGCCACUUAUGCUAAUAUUGACAGAAUAAAAUUCAGUAAAUCAAUUGAAGAAAAAAAAAAGAGAUAACUAAAGCAAAAUUAAUAGUUAUAUAUUUGCAGAUACAUAGUCUAAGAUGAAUAUAUUAGACACUAAUGACAAUAGACGAAUAUUAAUAUUCAAGUAUUUUGCAUCUAUCAACUGAGUAGCCAAAGUCCUGCCCUCAAUUGUGAGAAUACAUGAUUCGAGCUUUCACAAAAUAUUAUAGGAGGAUUUUAUUCUUCCUUUAAUUAUGAAAAAUAAUUGAGAGAAUGUUGUAAAUAUAAAGUAGUCUGAGAAAUUAUCUGAUUGUAAAUAUUAAUAAUAUUUUAAUAUAAUAUUAGUAAUAAUCUCAUAUAAUAUAAGUUGUAAUUUAGGUAAAAAUUUGACGUAAUUUAAAAAUAUAUAUAUUUACAUCGAUCAAUAAUAUUCAAAAUUUAAAAGCAUAUUCAAUACGGCAUCGUUUCAGUAGGACCUUAUUGUUCAGAAACCACCAAAUAAGUCACGCGUGGCGGAUAGCACGUGUGGCACCUCUCUUUCUCUCGCCCUCUCUCGAGCGCUCUUCGUAUUAUCAAAUCAGAUCAGAACUCAUCACAGAAAAAAAUCCAAAAAAAAAAAAAAGAAAAAAUUGAAAAAAAUGUCGGGCUCCGUAAUGUUGGGAGAAUCAAGCUCAUGGUCACGCGCGCUCGUUAAGAUAUCACCAUAUACCUUCUCCGCCAUCGGCAUCGCUGUCGCCAUCGGCGUCUCCGUCCUCGGCGCCGCCUGGUAAACCCCCGUCCUCUCCCUUUCUCCCAGACACAUAUUAAAUUUAUUCAUAUUGUCAAUCUUUUAUAUGCGUUAUUAGUUAUAUGUGAACUACUAUCGCUAGGGGGAUCUACAUAACGGGGAGUAGUUUAAUCGGUGCCGCAAUCAAGGCUCCUCGUAUCACCUCCAAGAAUCUCAUCAGGUACUUUUAAUUAUUUAUUUUCACUUUAACCCUAACGCUGUCUUAAAUAAUUUAAUUAUUUAGUCCAGUUAGCGAUCCUUUUUGCUGCUAUAAAAUAAAAAUAAAAUCUAGGGUUUUGGUCCUGUUCAGGAUCCAUUGAUGGAUUCUUCCAUUCAAUGCAAUCUCGGGUUCCAAUUUCGGAGAAACAUUAACUUAAAAGUAGUCUAUUGUGAAGUCUAGACUUGCUAAUCCGUUAUAGAUUCUUUCAUAGGCUUGUGAUGUUAAUUGAUUGCUUGAUCUGAAACAUUUAGUUUUAUCCUUGAUUUUGAUGCCAUAUUAGUUACUCAAACGAUCUAAAGUUUAAGCUGUUAGGCACUAAUAUUACAAUGUGGGCGAAGGGGGUAACUAAAAACUGUUAGGGAAAUUGGGUUAGAAUUUAAAUGUGUAACUUUGAAAUAGAAAUUGCUAGCUAAGAGGGGCUUGAAAGUUGGCAUCUAGUGCUUAGGUGGUAGCAGCUUCAUUUGUGAACGAAUAAAUUUGCAGCUUCUACCUGGUUUGAAGUUUUAAAAUCUUCUGUUCUGGGGAGCAUUUUGGAUAAGUAACUGCAAGAAUUUAGAUAAAUGGAUUUUAUCGCUGAUAUAUACAUAGGGGGCUUGAGGCCUAUUGGUGAUUUCAGCUUAGGAUUUUUCUGUAGAUUUUUGCGAUCAACCGUUAACUUGGGACAGGUUACCAGAGUACGGAAAUAUUCUUCUCCUUUUAAUUUAUUCUAUUGUGAGUGGAAUUAUUGGUUUUUGAACACCCCUAUCAUGUGUAUAUACAUAAAAUGUUCUGCCUUCCAUGUUUUCAGAUGUGAGAACAGUACAAAUGCUGUAUAUCUUAGUUGUGAUUAUAAAGGAUUCUCUUAGCCAUGCUCACAAUGUUGAAUUUUUAGAAGGCUUGUGUUAAUCAAGUUUUGAGUUGCUUGCAGCUUUUAACCAAUGUGAUGUGACUGCAAAGUAUCUCUAAUUUUGGAUUUGGAUAUUGUCUGUUUUACACUGAUGGUAUCUUGAAUUUCAAUUUGAUAUUAUCAAAGGUUUAUUCUUGAAUAGAACCGCAGUAGUUCUUACUGUUCAUAUGUUAUGAUAUGAAUAUACCACACCAAUUCGUUAUGUAUAGACGAUGAGAUUCCAUUGAUACAGAGCCAAUUCCAAUAGACUUAUUGGAGGGUCCCAUUGGCGUGCAUCCAGUAGGAAUUGAACCUACGAAUUCGCCAAUUAUGAGUUGGGCGCGUACACUGAUGAAGUGACAUGACUUUCUUUCUUGUGUGUUUUUCAGUGUAAUUUUUUGUGAAGCUGUUGCUAUAUAUGGGGUCAUUGUUGCAAUUAUUUUACAAACAAAGCUAGAAAGUGUUCCGGCAUCACAGAUAUAUGCACCAGAAUCACUAAGAGCUGGAUAUGCCAUCUUUGCCUCUGGGAUCAUCGUGGGCUUUGCUAACCUAGUUUGUGGGUUUGUCUUCAUCUCAUGCUCUGGCAUCAUCCAGUUCAGUUUUCUAGUGAGUGCUGCUGUUUAUGAUAUGUCUUACAUGUUAUGAUUUUUGUUUCGGCUGCAGGUUGUGUGUAGGAAUAAUUGGAAGCAGCUGUGCAUUGUCUGAUGCCCAAAACUCGUCCUUGUUUGUGAAGAUUUUGGUGAUUGAGAUCUUUGGUAGUGCUCUUGGGUUGUUUGGAGUGAUUGUUGGAAUAAUUAUGUCAGCUCAAGCAUCAUGGCCUGCAAAACCAGUGUAAUUUGAUCUUCUUUAUUCUUUUGGGGAAUUCAACUGUGGCAGCAUGCACUUUAUUUUGUGUACUUCAGCUGCGCUCUUUAUCUUGUUGCUUUAUAAUUUUCACUAGCAGGGAUGUAUAAACUGGUGUGGACAUGCUCUUUCUUUCAGCUUAGGCCUUGGAUGUUUCACUUAGGAAAAAAAAAAAAAAGAAGAAAUCUUGGGAAGAGGAGCAUUAUUACCCACUGUUAGAUGAGUGAAGAAAUCUUGGGAAGAGGAGCAUUAUCUUGGGAAGAGGAGCAUUAUUACCCACUGUUAGAUGAGUGUAUAUUUACGCCAUUCAAAGUAGACCUUGUUAUUUUGAGUUCUUCUAUCGUGUUUGUAAAAUGUGUUUAUUGAAGUUCAUCCAAUAAAACUAGAUUUUGAAGAUGUGAACACUGGAUAAUUGGCUACCCAUUCUUACCGUGAACUGUGUUGGUCCCAUUAAUAUGCAGUUGCUUUGCACAUUAAAUCAUCAUACUUUAACUGAUGGUUCCAUCAGGUUAAAGUUCUUUCACUCUAUUGCAUGCAGCUAGCUAAUGAUGCUGGUAAUGGUAACUUGUUUCUUGCAAAAUGACUUGUAAUUUUAAUUAAUUUGCUUGCAUAUAGAAACCUAAUAAUAUUAGUCUAUUUACGUUGCAU
rnacentral:lncRNA from 1 species